AAAAUUUUCACUUGCGAUGGUGGUGUAAUGGUCAGCAUAGUUGCCUUCCAAGCAGUUGAUCCGGGUUCGAUUCCCGGCCAUCGCAGUUAAUUUUUGCAGUUUUUUUUGUUUUUUAACAACCUUUCUUAAAUUUUUUUUAAAAACUGCAUUUAAAACUUAAUUUUGAUUUAUUUCGUAAUCACAAGAAAGCAUCGUUAACAUUAUAUAAUACUAAUUAUAAAUAACUUUAAUUUAGUUGACUACG